GCCGAAGUGGUGGAAUUUGGUAGACACGCUAUCUUGAGGGGGUAGUGGAGAGAUCCGUGCCGGUUCAAGUCCGGCCUUCGGCA
rnacentral:tRNA from 1 species